GAAAGCAUGGGUAGCGAAGAGGAUUAGAUACCCUCGUAGUCCAUGCCGUAAACGAUGUGUGUUAGAUGUUGGAAAUUUAUUUUCAGUAUCGCAGCGAAAGCGUUAAACACACCGCCUGGGGAGUACGACCGCAAGGUUAAAACUCAAAUGAAUUGACGGGGACCCGCACAAGUAGUGGAGCAUGUGGUUUAAUUCGAAGAUACGCGCAGAACCUUACCAACACUUGACAUGUUUGUCGCGACUUUAAGAGAUUAAAGUCUUCGGUUCGGCCGGACAAAACACAGGUGCUGCAUGGCUGUCGUCAGCUCGUGUCGUGAGAUGUUGGGUUAAGUCCCGCAACGAGCGCAACCCUCACUUUUAGUUGCCAUCAUUUAGUUGGGCACUCUGAAAGAACUGCCAGUGAUAAGCUGGAGGAAGGUGGGGAUGACGUCAAGUCCUCAUGGCCCUUACGUGUUGGGCUACACACGUGCUACAAUGGCAUUUACAAUAGGAUGCAAGACGGCGACGUCAAGCAAAUCCUAAAAAGAUGCCUCAGUUCGGAUUGUACUCUGCAACUCGAGUACAUGAAGCUGGAAUUACUAGUAAUCGCGGAUCAGCGCGCCGCGGUGAAUACGUUCCCGGGUCUUGUACACACCGCCCGUCACACCAUGGGAGUUGGUUCUACCUUAAGGCAAAGCUUAAAACCUUUGACCACGGUAUAGUCAGCGACUGGGGUGAAGUCGUAACAAGGUAGCCGUAGGGGAACCUGCGGCUG
rnacentral:rRNA from 1 species